CUGCUGCAAAUUAGACAGGCACAAAAAUGAGACGAGGGUGGAAAAAAUGCCAUCGACCCACUCCAGCAUGUUUUCAUUCAUGGCUGUGAUUGCAGACACAAAACGAGCCUGACCUAAUUAGGUCACAAGACACCUACUGCCUUCUCCAACAAGCCUCUCAAAGCCCCAAACAUCCCUCUCAGUGUAAUGUACUCAGAAAGCAUCGACAGUUCAUUUGCCUCCUACAGACACAGAGUCCAUGGAUAUCAGUGUGUGUGUGUGUGUGUUAGGGAGCAUGUCACAUGAUAUAAUUAUGAACCAGACGUCCUCACAAACUCAUUCUGCACUUGUUUUUAAAGGUUCAUACUAUAUUUUCAGCAUGUUAUGUACCAGUGUACAGUCAAAAAACAAUUGAGGGAUCCACAGAUGAUUAAAGGAGCAAUAAGAUAUUUCUGUUACACAAAAUUAUCUUGGUUUUUUCCUAAAUUUGUUCACUUUAUUCUUUGUUUAAGGCUCUAAAAAUCCUUUUAAAUGAAAAAGUCACAGAAGAAAAACCAUCGAUUUUGGGUUGAACUACUCACAAUACUUGUCUUGAAGGGUCACACUGCUUCAUUUUAAGGGUCCACAAGAGAAAAAGGUUGUGAACAAUUGUUGUAGACUGAACUAUGAAACUAUGGAAGCCCAGUUCUGCCACUUGGGGCCACCAGAAAAAGCUGUAAAAGCAACAUUUUGUAAAGGCUGCACCAGAAACGUGGGCAUGCAUGUAUGUGAUUGGCCAUCACAGCACAGUAUUGGCAAUAUAUGCAACAUAUAGACAUUUUUGAAAUGAAGGCAAACAUAUGAAUGGCUAAAAGGACCAGAAGAUGAAGAAACAAGAAACUGUUCUUGAAUACUGUAUAUACAAUGUUCUGCAAAAGUUUUAGGCACUUCGGAUGUUUAGAUUCAUUAUGCAACACCGUCAGGGAGGCAGCUGAUUGGUCUCAAAUGUGUUCUGCAGCAUGACAACGAGCCCAAACGUCCAGCCAGAGUCAUAAAGAACCAUCUUCAGCAACGAGAUGGUCUCAACAUCAUGGAGUCAGUCUGGGCGUCUGCUGUUUUAAAAGCAAAUCUGCUCACAGCAAAUAUUGAUUUCAUUUAGUUUUCCGCUGUUCACUCGACUUUGUGUGAAAUUGAUAAAUAAAACAUAUUCAUGGCAUUAUUUUUUUAAAGCACCUUUACUUUACUUUUAGUGCCUGAAACUUUGUCAAUGGUCCCAACUGGUGUAGCCUCAGGCUCCAGAUUAUCCCUCGGACAUCAGGUCACAGUCCAGACAAUUUAAAACCCACUCAGUACGUCCCUGUCAGUAGAUUCAAACCCACCACAUUCUUAUUGUGGGGAGACAUACAGGGCUAACCACUACUGCAAUAACUUCACUACAACUGAGGUUUAAAGCUCAAUAAAACAAGAUGCACUGCAGCAAGAGAAUGAAACUGUUUUUACAGCAGAACAUGUAAACAGACCUGAUGCAAAGAACAAGGAAAUACGACAUCUGCAGUGGUGAAAAUGAUAAAGAAAAGUGUGGUUUCAAGCCAGGUCAGUGCUUCACUGCAUAAAACUGAACCGUCGGUGGUUCAGAAUCCAGCCGCCUCACAAGUUAAGGAACACGUGAUGGUUUCAGCCGCCAGCAAAUCCAAUAAGAUCUCUUCUCCAAAAGCCAUAUAAGUGGAGAACUUUGGUGAAGAAACUACAAGUCAAAGAGCUUGGCCCAGAUAUAUCUGACAUCAACAUCUGACAACAGGCUAGCGGAAAAGGUCAAAUGUUCAUGCGAGGCUCGGCUAGCUGGAUGUAAAUACCAGAUUCCCAUGCUUACUUUUUAAAAUGAUGGGGUCAGAUACAUGUGGACUGUUACAGGAGUAAAGAAACAUUCAGUGGAUCUGUAGCAGCAGCCUAUAGAGAGACAGAGGACGCCAGGACAAGAGGAACAACAGCGGUUGGCUACAGAGGUGUGUGAUACUGUUUUGAGUCACGACAUGGAGCUGUUCUCUUUCACUGAGCACCUCAUCAGUGCCGCUCUGUUGCGAGGAGACUUGUUCCCAGAACACCCAGUAAAGUUCCCGGAUUCAGUGCUGGAAACCACAGCGGAGACCUUCACCAACAGAACUAUUCCCGAUCCAUGAGAACGACCAGUUCAAGGCUCGCAGUGAUGCGCAGACUCUGUUCCGGUUGUUCAUGGAGAACAACCUUCAGUCUUUUCAUCACUACAGCCAUGAUGACAGCAGAAUCAGAGAGGCGAUUCUCUACUAUAUAGAGGAUCAAGACCUUCCUGAGGAACAUCACGAUCACCUGAAUGCUCUGGCUGUGCUAUUCAUG